rnacentral:rRNA from 1 species
UCUGGUGACGAUGGCAAGGAGGUCACACCUGUUCCCAUGCCGAACACAGAAGUUAAGCUCCUUAGCGCCGAUGGUAGUCGGACUUA